UUUAGAACAACCAGCCGCUGUUAGCUCCUGUAAGCUAUUAGCUCCUUGUCAAAUAACAGUCAGUUGGUCGCUUUUUAUCGCUUUCAUUUCGAUUAUUUCUCUGUUUAAUGGUCACCGGGUACUGCGCGGCUGGCGCCACAAACAGAGAUGCAAACAAAACGUAACUUUACAUUAAACCGAGGAAAGAAGAUGGCGACGGAUAGCAGCUGUUGGUUGUAUUCGCGGAUUUGCAGCAAAAGUCUUUCACAAGGAUCUGCAGAGUUCUGGUGGAUUGGAUUUGGACUUCAGCUGAUUGUUCUCCACUUCCAGAGAUGUUUACACUCAACAUGCUGUUAAGCGCGAAGGCCUGCAGGCGUCCGCUCAAACCUCCAGAGAGCCGCUGUAAUGGAGCGGCGCCUCGCCGCGACACGAAGCAGGCGGAGGUUAAAACAUUCUGUUCAGAUGUGGGACCAACAUCAAACUGCUGCUUCCACACGGCGGUGCGGCCCGCGGCGCCGGAAUCACUCAUUCUGACAGGUCAGGUUUUUUCGUUGGAUCGAUCUGUGAUUGAUGACGAGCCGAUCCGUCAGACGAACUGGUCGACUUCUUCCCCGGCUGUUCGCCAGAGUAUGAAACAAACAGUCGGACCUGCAGUUUGUGAACAAUUACAGACUUCAGGCUGAAGAUCAGCAGCUCAGGAUUCUUCUUCAUGGACUGACUGGAGCUGGAAAAUCCAGCUUCAUUAACUCUGUCAGCAGCAUCCUGCAGGGGAGCGUGACUACCAUCGCUCUUGUUAAUAAUCCAGCUGAAGACAGAUUCACUAAACAGCAUGAUGAGCCUGAGGACCGACAGCAGGAGAACCAGAAGAGCUCAGGAGAAAGAUGUGAAAAAGGCAAUGAAGCGAAA